rnacentral:lncRNA from 1 species
AAUGACAGGAAGACCCAACAAUCGCUUACCAGAAAGCGCAAUAGCCGCCUGUACAGAAUCCUCGUGACAGAACUCCACAUAUGCAACACUAUAUUAUAUUCGUUAGCAAACGAACCCAAUUUGAAAAAUAAAAAAAAACAGAAUAAUAUCUAUUUAAAAAAAAAAAAAAAAUUAUAAGACAUACCCUUUCGAUCGUCCGCUAAUCUUGUCUCGAACAAUUUGAGCAUCGCGAACAGGACCAGCUUGUUCGAAAAAAUCAUAUAAUUCCCUAGAAGUCAAACGAUUUGCGAGUUGAGAAACGAACACAGUACGGCGAUCACGCUCUUCCUCUGAAAGUUUAGAGGAGCGUUCACGAGGACGGGAACGACUUCUCUUACGCUCAUGUGAACGGUCAUCAUCCCUCAAGUCCUCAUAAUCAUAAUCAUGGGCUCUAGAAGAACGAGAGGAGCGUUCUUCAUAGCGGCGACGACUACGACUAUGCCGCGAAGAGUAAGGAGGGCUGCGUGAAUAAUCAUCGUAUCGAUGGCGACUACGACUUGAGGGAUGGCGGCUUCGACUUGACCUUGAACUGCGAUCGCGAUCGCGAGAACGAACGGGUGAUCUACUUUGAUGAGAAUCUACAGAAGAGUGAGGAGAGGGAGAGCGACUACCAUAAUCGGACCUUGGACUAUAUGAUCUCCUAUGGUGUCUUGGGGUGCGAUGACUUGAGGAAUUUGUAACUACAUCAUCGUUAUAACCGCUAUCCUCUCGUUGAAAAGAUUGUUUGGAAGAUCUGGCGUACCGAUAACCCAUUGAAACGGGAGGAGGAGUUAGACGACCUUCACUUUCGUAAUUUUUAGACACGGGUUUGAAAGAGCGAUCAUGCAACCGUGUAGGCGGUGGAGGAGGGUUAGAGGGAUGACUAUGAGUGGAAGAGGUGAGUGAGGAUUCAUGAAAAGAAGAAGAUGCCUUUUGCUGAUUUUCUUGAUUUUGCGGCUAGGAAAAGGGUUAGUAAAAACAAUAAACACGGGAAGACAAAAAAACAAAGGGAAAAGGCGGGAAGGAAGGAAAAAAAUUGUAAACGUACCACUUCUUGCUUACGAAAAGGAGCCUCAGCCAAGGCUUCCGCGUCCAGCUGCAUUUAGAUUAGAUCUGUUUAUCUAUGCGUGGAAAAUACGUUCGUUUAUUUUCGUUUUCAAUACAACAAACUCUGACAGGAUCGGAACAGACUUCGACUGGAAAACUAAGUAAGCUAGUAAAAAUGGAGUUUUGUCAGUCUAGUAGCUUUCGUCGCUUCUAACACGAAUUGUUUUGUUAAAAAAUAUUAAUAAUGAGUACUCUUUUGAGCUAUUUUGUCCUCUUUCUUUCGGUGGAAAAAAAAGUGGAAUAUUCUACUGCCUAAGCGAUAAAAGAUGAGAGAAAUUUUAGUACAAACAAAAAAGAAAGCGAGGAAUAGCGGAAUAAGGAAAUUCCAAGCUAAAAACAAUUACCGACAAUAAGAAGCAAAGAAACGGAAAGGAAGGAAAACAAAAUUAUACCUAACCAAACCAACGAAAAGUAAAUCACGAAAAGUUAAUAAAUUUCGAUCAACUUAAGGUUUUCUCUUUUCAAGUAUUUUUUCGCAAAUAAUAAUUUUUAGUCUACUAUGAAUAAAUCAAUGAAUUGUAUCUGUAAAGCACUUCACUCGUCUGUUCUUUCCCUGUGUAUAGGCCCUUGAGUGCAAUUUUCUGGUGUUCAGUUUCGGAACCCGUUUUGCGAUACGGUAAAUAUUGUUUUCCGUUGUCUUACCAUUUUUCGGAAAAGUCGAUCAAAAAUAGCACGAUUUUUUGGUUCGCCCCG